AUUGAACGCUGGCGGCAUGCCUUACACAUGCAAGUCGAACGGCAGCGCGGACUUCGGUCUGGCGGCGAGUGGCGAACGGGUGAGUAAUGUAUCGGAACGUACCAUUCAGUGGGGGAUAACGCAGCGAAAGUUGCGCUAAUACCGCACAUUCUGUGCGCAGGAAAGCAGGGGAUCGCAAGACCUUGCGCUGAUUGAGCGGCCGAUAUCAGAUUAGCUAGUUGGUGAGGUAAAGGCUCACCAAGGCGACGAUCUGUAGCGGGUCUGAGAGGAUGAUCCGCCACACUGGGACUGAGACACGGCCCAGACUCCUACGGGAGGCAGCAGUGGGGAAUUUUGGACAAUGGGGGCAACCCUGAUCCAGCCAUGCCGCGUGAGUGAAGAAGGCCUUCGGGUUGUAAAGCUCUUUCGGCCGGGAAGAAAUCGCACAGGCUAAUACCUUGUGUGGAUGACGGUACCGGAAUAAGAAGCACCGGCUAACUACGUGCCAGCCGCCGCCGUAAAAC
rnacentral:rRNA from 1 species